GCUUUCUGGGUGUUCAACGGAGGGACACAGGAAGAACGUGAUGGCCUCUAAGCUGCCUUUGGAGACAAGAUUGGCCGAAAGAUAUGAACAGUUCAUCCAGGAGUGGUCCAAGCAACAGGAGUGAGGUGCGCCUACUGUGACCGGGAUAAGAAGAGACUGGGAAUCUGUAUAUCCUUAACGCGUGAUGAGCGAAUAUUUGGGAUACGCAUUAAAGCAGGCUUUGCCGGUCCAGGGCUAGAGUAUGGUGACCCCCUCGGGGCCCCUGGUAACACUAUCUGAUGGAGAACAGGGACGAUGGGGAGUCUGAAGAGGACCGAGGUCUGAAAAAAAGGAAGGAAGCCGAGGCAGCACUCAGAGCUUCCCCCCUCCCCC
rnacentral:lncRNA from 1 species